rnacentral:rRNA from 1 species
CCCCUUGAAGACCACGAGGUAGAUAGGUUGGAGGUGGAAGUGCAGCAAUGCAUGGAGCUGACCAAUACUAAUCGGUCGAGGGCUUAUCCUA